rnacentral:rRNA from 1 species
CCACGCCGUAAACGAUGAGUGCUAGGUGUCGGGAGUCAAAUCUCGGUGCCGCAGUUAACGCAAUAAGCACUCCGCCUGGGGAGUACGUACGCAAGUAUGAAACUCAAAGGAAUUGACGGGGACCCGCACAAGCAGCGGAGCAUGUGGUUUAAUUCGAAGCAACGCGAAGAACCUUACCAGGUCUUGACAUCUCCUGAAUAGCUUAGAGAUAAGUGAAGCCCUUCGGGGCAGGAAGACAGGUGGUGCAUGGUUGU